CCUACGGGAGGCAGCAGUGGGGAAUAUUGCACAAUGGGGGAAACUCUGAUGCAGCGACGCCGCGUGAGUGAGGAAGUAUUUCGGUAUGUAAAGCUCUAUCAGCAGGGAAGAAAAUGACGGUACCUGACUAAGAAGCCCCGGCUAACUACGUGCCAGCAGCCGCGGUAAUACGUAGGGGGCAAGCGUUAUCCGGAUUUACUGGGUGUAAAGGGAGCGUAGAAGGAAUAGCAAGUCUGAUGUGAAAACCCGGGGCUCAACUCUGGGAGUUGAUUGGAAACUGUUUAUCUAGAGUGUCGGAGAGGCAAGCGGAAUUCCUUGUGUCGCGGUGAACUGCGUAGAUAUUCGGCGGCACACCAG
rnacentral:rRNA from 1 species